rnacentral:rRNA from 1 species
AACGUAGGUGACGAGCGUUAUCCGGAUUUACUGGGCGUAAAGCGUGUGCAGGCGGUGCUUCAAGUGGUGUGUGAAAGCGCCCGGCUUAACCGGGCGAGGUCAUGCCAGACUGAAGGACUGGAGGCUGGGAGAGGGACAUGGAGUUCCGGGUGUAGUGGUGAAAUGCGUAGAGAUCCGGAGGAACUCCAGAGGCGAAGGCGGUGUCCUGGCCCAGACCUGACGCUCAGACACGAAAGCAUGGGGAGCGAACGGG